GAUGAACGCUAGCGGCAGGCCUAAUACAUGCAAGUCGAACGGUGUCUUCGGACAUAGUGGCGCACGGGUGCGUAACACGUAUGCAACCUACCUUACAUUGGGGGAUAGCCUUUCGAAAGGGAGAUUAAUACCGCAUAAGACAGUAGCUGGGCAUCCAGCAGCUGUUAAAGAUUUAUCGAUGUAAGCUGGGCAUGCGUCGAAUUAGCUAGUUGGUGAGGUAACGGCUCACCAAGGCAAUGAUUGGUAGGGGAACUGAGAGGUCAAUCCCCCACACUGGCACUGAGAUACGGGCCAGACGCCUACGGGAGGCAGCAGUAGGGAAUAUUGGGCAAUGGACGCAAGUCUGACCCAGCCAUGCCGCGUGCAGGAUGAAGGCGUUAUGCGUUGUAAACUGCUUUUAUACAGGAAGAAACUACUCUUGCGAGAGGCAUUGACGGUACUGUAUGAAUAAGCACCGGCUAACUCCGUGCCAGCCGCCGCCGUAA
rnacentral:rRNA from 1 species